rnacentral:rRNA from 1 species
GAUGAACGCUGGCGGCGUGCCUAAUACAUGCAAGUCGAGCGAACGGACGAGAAGCUUGCUUCUCUGAUGUUAGCGGCGGACGGGUGAGAAACACGUGGAUAACCUACCUAUAAGACUGGGAUAACUUCGGGAAACCGGAGCUAAUACCGGAUAAUAUUUUGAACCGCAUGGUUCAAAAAUGAAAGACGGUCUUGCUGUCACUUAUAGAUGGAUCCGCGCUGCAUUAGCUAGUUGGUAAGGUAACGGCUUACCAAGGCAACGAUGCAUAGCCGACCUGAGAGGGUGAUCGGCCACACUGGAACUGAGACACGGUCCAGACUCCUACGGGAGGCAGCAGUAGGGAAUCUUCCGCAAUGGGCGAAAGCCUGACGGAGCAACGCCGCGUGAGUGAUGAAGGUCUUCGGAUCGUAAAACUCUGUUAUUAGGGAAGAACAUAUGUGUAAGUAACUGUGCACAUCUUGACGGUACCUAAUCAGAAAGCCACGGCUAACUACGUG